rnacentral:rRNA from 1 species
ACGCUCGACACCUACGAGAGGCAGCAGUGGGGAAUAUUGCACAAUGGGGGAAACCCUGAUGCAGCGACGCCGCGUGAGCGAAGAAGUAUUUCGGUAUGUAAAGCUCUAUCAGCAGGGAAGAAAAUGACGGUACCUGACUAAGAAGCCCCGGCUAACUACGUGCCACAGCCGCGGUAAUCUGAGCGGGCUGGCAAGGC